UCCCUGGUAGUAUAUCGGCUAGUACACCCGCUUGUCAAUAAUACAUUGCGCGGGAGAGCGGGGUUCGACUCCCCGCUAAGGAG